AUUGAACGCUGGCGGCAGGCCUAACACAUGCAAGUCGGACGGUAGCACAGAGAGCUUGCUCUCGGGUGACGAGUGGCGGACGGGUGAGUAAUGUCUGGGGAUCUGCCCGAUAGAGGGGGAUAACCACUGGAAACGGUGGCUAAUACCGCAUAACGUCGCAAGACCAAAGAGGGGGACCUUCGGGCCUCUCACUAUCGGAUGAACCCAGAUGGGAUUAGCUAGUAGGCGGGGUAACGGCCCACCUAGGCGACGAUCCCUAGCUGGUCUGAGAGGAUGACCAGCCACACUGGAACUUAGACACGGUCCAGACUCCGACGGGAGGCAGCAGUGGGGAAUAUUGCACAAUGGGCGAAAGCCUGAUACAGCCAUGCCGCGUGUAUGAAGAAGGCCUUCGGGUUGUAAAGUACUUUCAGCGGGGAGGAAGGCGAUGUGGUUAAUAACCGCAUUGAUUGACGUUACCCGCAGAAGAAGCACCGGCUAACUCCGUGCCAGCCGCCGCAGUAA
rnacentral:rRNA from 1 species